UCUUUCUUAUGUAUUUGCCUGCCUAGGGACUAUGGAUGAAAACUAGCUUUGUAGCUAUAAUCUGGCAUAUUUACAUUUGUUUUUAUACUGAUGUUCAUUAAUGUGCAUUGUCCCUAUUCAAAUAAAUAAAUAAAUAAAUAAGCAGCAUUCUGUGUGUUCAGGG